GGACGAACGCUGGCGGCGUGCCUAAUACAUGCAAGUCGAGCGGMCCGACGGGAGCUUGCUCCCUUAGGUCAGCGGCGGACGGGUGAGUAACACGUGGGUAACCUGCCUGUAAGACUGGGAUAACUCCGGGAAACCGGGGCUAAUACCGGAUGCUUGAUUGAACCGCAUGGUUCAAUCAUAAAAGGUGGCUUUUAGCUACCACUURCAGAUGGACCCGCGGCGCAUUAGCUAGUUGGUGAGGUAACGGCUCACCAAGGCGACGAUGCGUAGCCGACCUGAGAGGGUGAUCGGCCACACUGGGACUGAGACACGGCCCAGACUCCUACGGGAGGCAGCAGUAGGGAAUCUUCCGCAAUGGACGAAAGUCUGACGGAGCAACGCCGCGUGAGUGAUGAAGGUUUUCGGAUCGUAAAACUCUGUUGUUAGGGAAGAACAAGUACCGUUCGAAUAGGGCGGYMCCUUGACGGUACCUAACCAGAAAGCCACGGYUAAYUMCGUGCC
rnacentral:rRNA from 1 species